UACGAAGGGGGCGAGCGUUGUUCGGAAUCACUGGGCGUAAAGGGCGCGUAGGCGGCCCUUCUUGUCGCGUGUGAAAGCCCCGGGCUCAACCUGGGAAUGGCGCGCGAGACGGGGGGGCUGGAGUUCGGGAGAGGAGCGUGGAAUUCCCAGUGUAGAGGUGAAAUUCGUAGAUAUUGGGAAGAACACCGGUGGCGAAGGCGGAUCUCUGGGCCUUACCUGACGCUGAGGCGCGAAAGCUAGGGGAGCGAACAGG
rnacentral:rRNA from 1 species